UAAAAAAUGAAUAAAUGCGUCGCCUGGAGUAUUAUGAUAAGUGUAUUAUACGACCAGUUUCGAAUUAAAAAUUCAUCAUCAGGUAUAUCACAGUCACAGUUGAUACACUUAUUAUAAUACUCCAGGCGACGCAUUUAUUUAUUUA